UGGCUCAGUGGAAAGAGCACGGGCUUAGGAGUCAGAGGUCAUGGGUUCAAAUCCCAU
rnacentral:tRNA from 1 species